rnacentral:rRNA from 1 species
AGCGAACGCUGGCGGCAGGCUUAACGCAUGCAAGUCGAACGGGCAUCUUCGGAUGUCAGCGGCAGACGGGUGAGUAACACGUGGGAACGUACCCUUCGGUUCGGAACAACUCUGGGAAACUGGAGCUAAUACCGGAUACGCCCUUAUGGGGAAAGGUUUACUGCCGAAGGAUCGGCCCGCGUCUGAUUAGCUAGUUGGUGGGGUAACGGCCUACCAAGGCGACGAUCAGUAGCUGGUCUGAGAGGAUGAUCAGCCACACUGGGACUGAGACACGGCCCAGACUCCUACGGGAGGCAGCAGUGGGGAAUAUUGGACAAUGGGCGCAAGCCUGAUCCAGCCAUGCCGCGUGAGUGAUGAAGGCCUUAGGGUUGUAAAGCUCUUUUGUCCGGGACGAUAAUGACGGUACCGGAAGAAUAAGCCCCGGCUAACUUCGUG